CCUUAGCAAGCAUCAGCUAACUCUGUGCCAGCAGCCGCGGUAAGACAGAGGAUGCGAACGUUGCUCGGAUUUACUGGGCGUAAAGCGCGUGUAGGCGGUCUCGUUAGUCGGGUGUGAAAGCCCCGGGCUCAACCCGGGAAGUGCACCCGAUACUGCGAGACUGGGGUACUGAAGAGGAGAGCGGAAUUCCCGGUGUAGAGGUGAAAUUCGUAGAUAUCGGGAGGAACACCAGUGGCGAAGGCGGCUCUCUGGGCAGAUACCGACGCUGAGACGCGAAAGCGUGGGGAGCAAACAGGAUUAGAUACCCUGGUAGUCCACGCUGUAAACGAUGACGACUGGGUGUUGCAGGUAUUGACCCCUGCGGUGCCGAAGCCAACGCGUUAAGUCGUCCGCCUGGGAAGUACGGCCGCAAGGCUAAAACUCAAAGGAAUUGACGGAG
rnacentral:rRNA from 1 species